UACGAAGGGGGCUAGCGUUGCUCGGAAUCACUGGGCGUAAAGGGUGCGUAGGCGGGUCUUUUAAGUCAGGGGUGAAAUCCUGGAGCUCAACUCCAGAACUGCCUUUGAUACUGAAGAUCUUGAGUUCGGGAGAGGUGAGUGGAACUGCGAGUGUAGAGAUGAAAUUCGUAGAUAUUCGCAAGAACACCAGUGGCGAAGGCGGCUCACUGGCCCGAUACUGACGCUGAGGCACGAAAGCGUGGGGAGCAAACAGG
rnacentral:rRNA from 1 species